CCUACGGGUGGCAGCAGUGAGGAAUAUUGGUCAAUGGGCGGAAGCCUGAACCAGCCAAGUCGCGUGAGGGAAUAAGGCCCUACGGGUCGUAAACCUCUUUUGCCGGGGAGCAAGGGCGGGGACGUGUCCCGGCCCGGUGAGUACCCGGAGCAAAAGCAUCGGCUAACUCCGUGCCAGCCGCCGCGGUAAUACUGAGGAUGCGGGGGUUAUCCGGAUUUAUUGGGGUUAUAGGGUGCGUAGGCGGGCUUUUAAGUCUGCGGGAAAAAUUCGGGGCUCAACCCCGUCCGGCCGUUGAAACGGGGGGCCGUGAGUGGGCGAGAAGGAGGCGGAAUGCGUGGUGCAGCGGUGAAAUGCAUAGAUAUCACGCAGAACCCCGAUUGCGAAGGCAGCCUUCCGGCGCCCUACUGACGCUGAGGCACGAAAGUGCGGGGAUCGAACAGGAUUAGAUACCCGGGUAGU
rnacentral:rRNA from 1 species